CGCUGGCGGCGUGCUUAACACAUGCAAGUCGAACGAGGAAUGCCGAAAAGCUUGCUUUUGACAUUCGAGUGGCGGACGGGUGAGUAACGCGUGAGGAACCUGUCUUCUACAGGGGGAUAACGUCCCGAAAGGGAAGCUAAUACCGCAUAAGACCACAGUGCCGCAUGGCACAGGGGUCAAAGGAGGAAUCCGGUAGAAGGUGGCCUCGCGUCCCAUUAGGCAGUUGGCGGGGUAACGGCCCACCAAACCUGCGAUGGGUAGCCGACCUGAGAGGGUGAUCGGCCACAUUGGAACUGAGACACGGUCCAAACUCCUACGGGAGGCAGCAGUGGGGAAUAUUGGGCAAUGGGCGCCAAGCCUGACCCAGCAACGCCGCGUGAGGGAAGAAGGUUUUCGGAUUGUAAACCUCUGUCCCGGGAGACGAGAGCGAGACGGUAUCCCGGGAGGAAGCCCCGGCUAACUACGUGCCAGCCGCUGC
rnacentral:rRNA from 1 species